rnacentral:rRNA from 1 species
GAUGAGUAGGGCGGGACACGUGGUAUCCUGUCUGAAUAUGGGGGGACCAUCCUCCAAGGCUAAAUACUCCUGACUGACCGAUAGUGAACCAGUACCGUGAGGGAAAGGCGAAAAGAACCCCGGCGAGGGGAGUGAAAAAGAACCUGAAACCGUGUACGUACAAGCAGUGGGAGCACAGAGCAAUCUGUGUGACUGCGUACCUUUUGUAUAAUGGGUCAGCGACUUAUAUUCUGUAGCAAGGUUAACCGAAUAGGGGAGCCGAAGGGAAACCGAGUCUUAACUGGGCGUUAAGUUGCAGGGUAUAGACCCGAAACCCGGUGAUCUAGCCAUGGGCAGGUUGAAGGUUGGGUAACACUAACUGGAGGACCGAACCGACUAAUGUUGAAAAAUUAGCGGAUGACUUGUGGCUGGGGGUGAAAGGCCAAUCAAACCGGGAGAUAGCUGGUUCUCCCCGAAAGCUAUUUAGGUAGCGCCUCGUGAAUUCAUCUCCGGGGGUAGAGCACUGUUUCGGCAAGGGGGUCAUCCCGACUUACCAACCCGAUGCAAACUGCGAAUACCGGAGAAUGUUAUCACGGGAGACACACGGCGGGUGCUAACGUCCGUCGUGAAGAGGGAAACAACCCAGACCGCCAGCUAAGGUCCCAAAGUCAUGGUUAAGUGGGAAACGAUGUGGGAAGGCCCAGACAGCCAGGAUGUUGGCUUAGAAGCAGCCAUCAUUUAAAGAAAGCGUAAUAGCUCACUGGUCGAGUCGGCCUGCGCGGAAGAUGUAACGGGGCUAAACCAUGCACCGAAGCUGCGGCAGCGACACUGUGUGUUGUUGGGUAGGGGAGCGU